CGUUUCUGUAGCUGUCUCCAUCAAGGAAAAUAAAAAGAGAGAAAGACAAAUUGAUUAGUAUUUACAAAGCAUCCAGCUAAUCUUACUACUUGACUUGCAAGAAACUCAGUGACAUGUUUUGGGUUUGUUUUUUAAUCUUCAGUAUUUGGAUGUUCUUUCUCACAGGGUAAAUAACAUCACAACUAUGUUUACACUGUAAUGGAAUGAAAAGUCCUUUGGACCAGAUGUAAGCACACCAUAUUCUGCACCUCCCCUCCCCAGGCCCUAUCUGCCCCAGAUAUAUUAUGGCAGCAAGGACUGCCAGCAGAAUGCUUGUGAGCAUUUCUGUGCUAGUGUGCUGAACCACCAAGCUCACUCAGGUACCCAGGUGCCAUGAAGCUCUCAAGAAAAGGCUGUGUGCCCACAUCUGUGGUCAGUCCUGUAUGCUUGCAGUACAAAAUAAAAUACAGCUCUUCAAAUAUAAGCGUAAGUAAUGAGAAUACAACAGCAACAACAACAACAGGCCUCUGAACUCAGCUGGAGACGGAGGCUGCUUCCUCCCCAUCAAGACGAUUGUGUUGAUCAACAUGUCUUUCUGUGAGGCAGCUGCUCUCGACUUCUGCUAAGCUGUGCACUCAGUGUGGGACGUGGAAGAGAGGAACUACGGGUGCUGGGACGGGAGUCUGGAGACAGGAAAUAUCGUAGCUGAUAUUCUGGUGGGGAGGGAGCUAAGGAA